CAGACCUCUGAUCAGAGAAGACGACCCGCUGAGUUUAAGCAUAUCAAUAGGCCGGAGGAA
rnacentral:rRNA from 1 species